UGCAGCUCUUCCCAAGUUUUGUCUGCAGGGCUGUUCCUGCUCUAACAAACUGUGAAGCAACAAGUCCAGGGGCCUGGUGAGAUCGGGGCUGGGACAGGGGCAGCCUCACAGAGGCACGUUCAAGGCUUCCUUUUGGUUUUUGUUGGGUUUUUUUUUUCCACUCUCUGACAUCCAACUGCUGCUCCCCUUCUCCCUCCGUGCAGCAGUGGGAGCCAAGGCUGUGGAUCCACCACGCUCCUUCCCUGCCCUGCCCGUGUCCAGCCGAGCCUGCUCUUAUCACAAAUCCCUUUUUUCUCCCCGCAGUGCAAACACUGCUCCUUGCUGUUCUCUCACCUCUCCUCCUCCCUCUUUGUUUUCUGUAAAUCCCUCACUCUGUUUCUCUUCAUGUGGUUUUUGUUUUGUUUCCAGUUUAUGUUGUUCAUCUUAAAAUCCCUUUUUUUUUUUAAUCCAGGCUGAAGAAAACUGAGCAUUAUCAAUGCUUCUCUUUUGGUUUCCUUUUUUCCCCCCCUUCAGAGUGUUGUGUAAUCAUCGGAUCCUUUUAUUCUAUAUCUGUAAAUAGACAAAGGAACUUGUACAGGGAGUUUUUCCUGGAGUAGCUGUUCACAGUUACCUAUUGAAAUGAAUCUCACAUGCAAACACAUUUAUUCCACACAGAUGUACCAGCCCACCCCUCCUUUACUUCAAACUUGCACUCUGGUCGUUCACAAUGCCUGUAAAAGUUAAUUGAGGAAGAGGAGAAAGGGGAAUAUUUGUGCAGGUAAAGCCUGUGGUUUGUACCCGUGCUGGGAGGGCUGUGGAUCCAGUGACAGCAUUCCUGGAGGGAUGAAACCCUAAGGCUGGGAAAAGGAAUAUCUGAAGCCAGCAUAAAAACAAGCACUGAAGGGAAUUCCCAGGAGAGGACUUUUGCAGGAGGUGGAGUCUGAUGAAGUUCCAGUGAAUUCGGGAGCUGCCAUUCCUGGAUGAAUCCCCGGAUCCGUCUGGGUGGAUCUCACCUGUCCAACCUGGAGCAGAGUGGGUUUGCUCCGUGUCUGGUGCUCUGUGUCCAGAGGGAACAUCAUUUCCUUGCUGGUGGUGGAUGUUUCCUCCUUUCACCUGCAGCAGAUCAAAGUUCCAGGCAGGAGAGUGAGAGGAGUUUGACACGAUGCGGAUCCGCUCCCUCCAAGCCCUUCCCUCUUUCUCCAUGGGAAGAGCCCGAGUGGACAGACAAGUCUUGGCUCACAGACAUGGCUGACAAGAACAGCACCCUGAAAUGCACGUUCUCUGCUCCUGGCCACAGCACCACUCUGCUGCAGGGACUGGCCUCGCUCCGAGCUCAGGCUCAGCUGCUUGAUGUCAUCCUCACUAUAAAUAAUGAAGUGUUUCAGGUUCAUAAAGUUGUCUUGGCUGCCUGCAGUGACUAUUUCAGGGCAAUGUUCACGGGCGGGAUGAGAGAGGCCAGCCAGGACGUGAUCGAGCUGAAAGGUGUGUCUGCGAAGGGCCUGAAGCACAUCAUAGACUUCGCCUACAGCGCCGAAGUGACUCUUGAUCUCGACUGCAUCCAGGACGUGCUGGGAGCCGCCGUCUUCCUCCAGAUGGUGCCCGUCGUGGAGCUCUGCGAGGAGUUCCUGAAGUCUGCCAUGAGCGUGGAGACGUGCCUCAACAUCGGGCAGAUGGCCACCACCUUCAGCCUCUCCUCCCUGAAGGAAUCCGUGGACGCCUUCACUUUCAGGCACUUCCUGCAGAUCUCCGAGGAGGAGGAUUUCCUCCACCUGCCCCUGGAGCGCCUGGUGUUCUUCCUGCAGAGCAACAAGCUGAAGAGCUGCAGCGAGAUCGACCUGUUCCGCGCCGCCGUGCGCUGGCUGCAGCACGACCCCGCGCGCCGCGCCAGCGCCAGCCGCGUCCUGUGCCACAUCCGCUUCCCGCUCAUGAAGUCCUCGGAGCUGGUGGACAGCGUGCAGACCCUGGACAUCAUGGUGGAGGACGUCCUGUGCCGCCAGUACCUGCUGGAGGCCUUCAACUACCAGAUCCUGCCCUUCCGGCAGCACGAGAUGCAGUCCCCGCGCACGGCCAUCCGCUCCGACGUGCUGUCCCUCGUCACCUUCGGCGGGACGCCCUACACGGACAACGACCGCACCGUCAGCGCCAAGGUCUACUGCCUGCCCGACGCGGGCGGCCGCCAGUUCAAGGAGCUCACGGAGAUGGAGGUGGGCAGCAGCCACUCCUGCGUGGCCGUGCUGGACAACUUCGUCUACCUGGUGGGCGGGCAGCAGCUGCAGUACCGCAGCGGGGAGGGGGCCGUGGACGUCUCCUACCGCUACGACCCGCACCUCAACCAGUGGCUGCGCAUCCAGGCCAUGCAGGAGAGCAGGAUCCAGUUCCAGCUGAACGUCCUGCGCGGCAUGGUGUACGCCACGGGCGGCAGGAACCGCUCGGGGAGCUUGGCCUCCGUGGAGAAGUACUGCCCCAAGGACAACGAGUGGACCUACGUGUGCUCCCUGAAGCGCAGGACGUGGGGCCACGCCGGGGCCACGGUGGGGGACAGGCUGUACAUCUCGGGGGGUUACGGGAUCUCCGUGGAGGACAAGAAGGCCCUGCACUGCUACGACCCUGCCGCCGACCAGUGGGAGUUCAAGACGCCCAUGAACGAGCCCAGGGUGCUGCACGCCAUGGUCAGCGCCAACGGCCGGAUCUACGCCCUGGGCGGGCGCAUGGACCACGUGGACCGUUGCUUCGACGUGCUGGCCGUGGAGUAUUACGUGCCCGAGACCGACCAGUGGACCACGGUGAGCCCCAUGCGCGCCGGGCAGUCGGAGGCCGGCUGCUGCCUGCUGGAGAAGAAGAUCUACAUCGUGGGGGGUUACAACUGGCACCUGAACAACGUCACCAGCAUCGUGCAGGUCUACAACACCGAGACCGACGAGUGGGAGAGGGACUUGCACUUCCCGGAGUCCUUCGCCGGGAUCGCCUGCGCUCCCGUCAUCCUGCCGCAGGCGCCGGGCCAGAGGUGACCGCCGGCCCUGGGCUCCCCUCGUGGUGCCCUUUGCUGCCCGAAAAUGUGCGGUUUUGGGGGAGAGGGGAGGAGAAAACCAGCUUAGGAGUCCCUCCUCCUCCUCCCGUGGGGUCGUGGCGAGCGCAGCCCGGCAGCAGCGCUCGCCAGCCGGUCACGCCGAGCAGAUGUCACAGCUGGGAAAGGCUCUUCCCUCUCUUCUCUGUUUCUUUGUUCACUGGGAGAGGGGUACAGGCUCUUCUCUCCCCUCUCUGGGUUUUUUUCCAUUGAGGGGGGAGCAUUUUGCCAAAUUUUUCUAUUUUUCUCGGCGUUCCACGCUGCAAACGGUGGCAGCUCAGGAGUUCACUCAGCGCUGGGGUCUGUUUCAGACAGAUCAGGUGUUUCUUGUUUUUUGGGUUUUUUUGGUUUGUUUUUUUUUUUUUUAUUAACAGCUCCCAAAAAACAAACGAACGAACAAACAGGAAAAUCGUUGUGUUCGUUGUGGGGUUUUUUUAGCAGACAAAAAAAAAACCAAACGGCCAAAACCUGUGUAACACACUGACCUCCAGAAGCAAUAAAAGGGACGGUGGGAGCUACAAGAGCUCGGGUGCUUGGAUUGUGAAAGCAUAUUCCCGUUUUUCAAAGGUGACUUUCCCUUUUUUUCCUCCCUGGAAAAAGGGAAUACUCAGCCCUGCACACCUCUGGUCUCCGUUGCUUGGAUCUCACCCCCUCCUCGCCCCCUCCAGGCACUCUGGUCCAGAAAUUCUCCCUUCCUCGGGGCCUGCAGAGUUUGCAGCACUAAAGCCAUGUUUGAAAGCUUGAUUAUGUAUAAACAGGCAUGAUUAUCUGGUUUUGUAUCUGCCAAAAAACUUGGCUUCCCUGGCAAUAAGAGCUCUGCAAUCGUCCAUCUGGGCUGACCCACGAGGCCAAGAGCUCCUGCAGUCCGUGGGUCAGGACUUUCUGCUCUCACCAACACACCCUCAGCCAAACUCUUCCUGCAGCGAAGGAGGAUGUGCUUCCCGUGAGCUGCAGCUCAUCCUGGCUGGAGAACCGCCUGAUGGAACCAUCCCUGGCAUCUCUUCCCGAGGGAACUGAGCCUUAUUCCUCACUCCAGGCUUCUCAGGUACGUGUGUGUGUGUUGGGGGCAAAGGGGGGAAGAGAAGAAUCCUUGAAAAAAAUACGGAAAAGCGCGUUUGGCCUCACUUUUAAGGUCAGCUUUGCAAAAAUAAGUGUAAGCUGAGUGUCCAUUCCCGUGGCUUUGCAAUGGGAGGACACACAGAGCCCUUCUGGAACUGGAUUUAAUACACACAUGCCUGGGAUUCACAUCCCUGCUCCCUGGCACUGCAGAGCAGGAGCUGGGAACGGGAUCUGGGAGUCUCUGGAUCUUGGGGCACCGCAGCUCUUCGCUGCUGGGACGUUCUUUUUAUAGCAACGUAAAUAAUUGUUUCUCAUCGAGUCAGCCAGAAAUAUUCCUGCUGCUCUAAAUUUAGCAGGGGGCUAAAAUAUUUGCAGAUGAUAAAUAUUUGGGACAGUGAAUUCGGGUUGACCCCUGGGAAGGCUGGAGUUGUGGCUCUGGGCAAAUCCCCUCUCUGUUCCUCUGACAAUAAAUGGGUUUGAUGCUUUUGCUGAUCCAACAAUUGACUGCUCGAGGAGGGUCUUCCCAUGUGAUGGGAGAAAACACUUCCCAGGAUGCCCCACUCGGAGAGCAAGUGGACUGGGCUCCUCUUUUCCUCAGGAAUGAGCAAAGCCAGAUAAAUGUUUGACUGCACUCGGAGUCAUUUAUGGGUCUCAGAGCAGCAAUAAACGUUCUGGGGGUGAAGCUGAUUCGGUGCAUUUGGAAAUGCCCUCGAGCAGGUGGGGAGCAGUCAGAGCUGUGUCCCCCCCGGGACUCCUGUCAGGGCUGGGAUAAUAACUCCUGUCUUCUCUGAUGUUUUAUGGGCCUGAAAUUGUGCUUAAGACUAGAAAGGAAGCCCUGGAAAACUCUUGGCAGGGUGCAGAGCAGCUUGAGAUUGGGAAUGUCUGCAUCCUAUUAAUGGUGUCACUGACCCUUUUCCAGAGGGUCUGUCGGCUCCCAAUCCCACUGUCACUUCUCCCUAUCCUAGAACCUGGAUAAUUCACCCAGACGUGGCCCAGCUCUCGUGCUGCAGCCCCUGGAAGUUGUAACAGCAGCGGAAAAACUUCCCUGCCUUUGGUUCCCAGGGAGCGAAGACGCUCCCACAGCAGCUCCCAGGCCCCUGGAGCUGAUUUAAAAACGCUGCUGUGUAACACGACUGUGAGGGACCUCGAGAAGCCACAUCAAACCCUGUCAGGCAUUCCCAACUUCCAUGUCUCUGAUAAGGUCUGGAGUUGCUGAAACUCCGCAAACUUUCGGGACAUUCAUCACGGAAGGAUUAUUGGAGCCAGACUACUGUCAGAAUAAAUAAAACAUGUUCCCCAGUGCAGCUCUAAUUAUGAUUUUUAGCCAGUUGUGUAAUGUGCAGAACUUUAUUUACA